rnacentral:lncRNA from 1 species
CAAUUCACCAAAGAAUUUGCAAUUAGCAUUUCCUAAAGUAUAGUAUUUAUAUCACUUACAGUCUAGGGCAUGUUAGAAAUAUAGAAAACUUUUUAAUUUUAUUUAUUAAAAUGUUACUUUAGUGAAUUUUAGAAAAAAAAUAACUAGCCCGUUGAAACUAUGAGUUCACAGAUAAGGUUAAAUUUUAAAAAUAAAGAAAAAUAUUAAUAGUGCACUGGUAAGCAGACAUGGCAUAAAUCAAAUGGUGAAGAAGGUGUGGUAGAUUAGUUAUUGGCCCCAAAGAUGGCCACAUGAUAACCCUGGGACCCAUGAGUGUCAUCCCAUACAGAAGGAAGGGUACAAAUAUAACCAAGUAGAGGAUCUGGAGAUGGGGAGGCUAUGUUGGAUGAUGUGCAUAGAUCCAAAGAUGAAAUCCAAGGGUGUUUAUAAAAGGGAUUCUGGAGGGUUAAAGACAGAGUAUUAGGAGAUGUCAUGAGGGGAGGAAGAGGUUGGAGUGAUGCAAAGGAGGAAGGAGGAAGGCUUCUGUUCUCCUAGAAGCUGAAAGAGACAAGGAAUGGUUUCUCCCCUGAAGCUGCUAGAAAGGACCAGCCCUGCAGACAGCCUGAUUUUAGCGCCAUCAGAUCUAUUUCAGUCUAUUGUCUUUCAGACUCCAGAUUUACAAAAAGAUGGGAAAUAUAGUUCAAGGAGGUGAUUCUUGUAUUGAGAAUAAAUUUCUCUUGUUUGAUGCCACUUAAUUUAUGGCAAUUUAAUGCAGCAUAAAUAGGGAACUACACAGAUGCUAAUCAAAUGAUGGACAUUCAUGAAGCAUUGGUUUAGCAAAUGUCUGAAUGCAGGCAUUUAUAUUAUGGAUCACGAUAGUAGUCUUAAAUUGUAGGUACAGAGUUUGGUGUAAUCUAUGUAUUCUUUAUGCAAGAAAUAUUUUUGUAAGUUGUUAAUUAUUCUGGAAUAUACUUACACCUGCAUCUGGAGACUUGAAAUCACUUGUGUAAUUUAAUGUCAAUAAUUAUAAUUAAUGAAAUUUAUUGAGCCUUAAACAGGCCAGUCAUUGUUUAAAGAACUUUAUAUGUAUUAUGAAUCUUACGAGAUGGCUUCUGUUCUAGUCUGUUUUACAAUGGAGAGGUGAAAUAACUUACACAAGAUCUCCAAUGGAGGAGGCAGCUUUGAUCUUAUAGAACAGUUUCUGUUUGGUACCUGAGUUCUCAAACAUCCUUAAGGAAUCCUGCAUGAUCUUUUCCAGUUUCCUUGCUAAACUUGGGCUUUAGUUCCCUUUAAUGAUAUAUAUAUAUAUUUUUUUAUACUUUGUUCCUUAAGUUUUCACACCUAGUUACAGAGGCUGAUGUAAAAUAAGACUGAAAUAGUUCUGCGUUCCUCUGCCAUCUGGUAAUGUUGACCCAUCAGAAAUAUCCAGUACACUGUUAGUUCUCAAUGAUGUUAAAACCAUAUUUACUAAGAUUAUGCCUGCUAGUAAUUUCUCAUCAGAAAGCUACCUCAAAUAUGAAAUGAUAUCAAGUAAGAUGCUUUUUAACAACAUUAAACAACAAUCAGGGAAGAAAUAAAAAUGUACCACCUUAUUAAAAUGCCAUUAAUUAUUUGCAGGAAUUUAUUCUGUGGUUUUGAUUUUUGCCUUUUAUUUUUGGAAAAAUGAUGAAGGCUUUCACUCUCACUAUAGAAUCUUGGAGAAGGCACUCAGGUGUUUUGGGCCUUAGGUCCUUCUCCUGCAAAAUUGGGUUGGACUAGAAGAACUUUAAGACUUCUUUCAGUUCUUAAAUUCAGUGACUCUGAAAUAUAUACUUAUUUAUUUGUAGAAAAUAACCCAACAGAACUCUGCUUGUUAAUACAACAGGGGACCUGAUUUGCCAAUAAACAUCCCAGUCAUCUCUAACACACAUGUGCCUUUCAAGCUAGACUUCAGGGUAAGGCUAAGAGAUUAUUUGUUACUAACCUUGUGGGCUACUUCUAAAACGUGUUCCUUUUCAAUGAGCGGCAUCAUUUUGUUCAUUGUGGUAGUUUGGAUAGUCUGCCUUGUUCCUGUGAACUUUCUACCUUUUGAUAAAAAUUAAAAACUGAGUUCCCAUUUAUUAUUUUAGCUUAUUCUUCUACUAUGGCUCUCCAAAUACUGCCUGCUUCAACCGGAUCAGUUAAUAUAUGGCAUCCUUUAGGGAGCAGACUUAGAAAUGAUGUCACAGAUGCCUGCAGUACACAUGUGCUGGUGUCCAUGAUCUCCCCCAAUUUUCCAGAGACUCUCCUAAUUUUAACACCAAAAAUCCUCAUAACCCAGGAAUCCCUCAGUCCUGGAAAUAUCAGGAUAAUGGCUGCUCUUAGGUCUUUCUAAAUUCUAUGGCUUGAAAUAAGUCAAUUUUCUACAAUAAUUCAAGUAUUCUCUAUCUACACUACCUAACACAGGAGGCAAGUGUAGCUACUGGAUACAUAAAGUGUGAACAAUGUAAUUGAGGAACUGAAUUUUCAACUUGAAAUGAAAUUUAAGUAGAUACACGUGGCAAAUGAGUACCUUGUGGGCAGCACAGCUCUAGAGGAUGUUAUGAAAUUGAUCCCUACUGAGUGCCUUGUGCAGCAUCCCAAAGGAAAGUGGAUUGGAAAGUUAUGUGACUGCAU